rnacentral:rRNA from 1 species
GUACACAAAAAUGCACAUACUGUGAGCUCGAUGAGUAGGGCGGGACACGUGGUAUCCUGUCUGAAUAUGGGGGGACCAUCCUCCAAGGCUAAAUACUCCUGACUGACCGAUAGUGAACCAGUACCGUGAGGGAAAGGCGAAAAGAACCCCGGCGAGGGGAGUGAAAAAGAACCUGAAACCGUGUACGUACAAGCAGUGGGAGCCUCUUAAUGGGGUGACUGCGUACCUUUUGUAUAAUGGGUCAGCGACUUAUAUUCUGUAGCAAGGUUAACCGAAUAGGGGAGCCGAAGGG